GAUGAAGAACGCAGCGAAAUGCGAUAAGUAAUGUGAAUUGCAGAAUUCAGUGAAUCAUCGAAUCUUUGAACGCACCUUGCACCCUUUGGCAUUCCGAAGGGUAUGCUCGUUUGAGUGUCAUUGUACUCUCACACUUCUGAUCCUUUGGAUUGGGAGCGGUGGACUUGGGUGUUGCUGCUUUACUGUGGCUCACCUCAAAUGCAUUCGUCCAACUCUUGGUUGGACAUAGUACGGCGUGAUAAGUAUCUUCGCCGGCACCUCGCAAGAGGGUGGCUGAUCAGGAGCUCUGUGCUUUCCAACUGUCUUCAGACAACAACUGACAACUUGACCUCAAAUCGAGUAGGACCACCCGCUGAACUUAAGCAUAUCAAUAAGCGGAGGA
rnacentral:misc_RNA from 1 species